rnacentral:rRNA from 1 species
AGUUGUAAUUUGCAGAGGAUGCUUCGGGUACGGGUUCCUUCCGAGUUCCCUGGAACGGGACGCCAUAGAGGGUGAGAAUCCCGU